rnacentral:rRNA from 1 species
GCUUAACGCGAAGAACCUUACCAAGGCUUGACAUACACCGGAAACGCCCAGAGAUGGGUGCCUCCUUUUGGACUGGUGUACAGGUGGUGCAUGGCUGUCGUCAGCUCGUGUCAUGAGAUGUUGGGUUAAGUCCCGCAACGAGCGCAACCCUUGUUCCAUGUUGCCAGCACGCCCGUUUGGGUGGUGGGGACUCAUGGGAGACUGCCGGGGUCAACUCGGAGGAAGGUGGGGAUGACGUCAAGUCAUCAUGCCCCUUAUGUCUUGGGCUGCAAACAUGCUACAAUGGUCGGUACAGAGGGUUGCGAUACCGUGAGGUGGAGCGAAUCCCUAAAGGCCGGUCUCAGUUCGGAUUGGGGUCUGCAACUCGACCCCAUGAAGUCGGAGUCGCUAGUAAUCGCAGAUCAGCAAUGCUGCGGUGAAUACGUUCCCGGGUCUUGUACACACCG